CAGUAGCCGCGGUAAUACGGAGGGGGCUAGCGUUGUUCGGAAUUACUGGGCGUAAAGCGCACGUAGGCUGCUUCGUAAGUUAGAGGUGAAAGCCCGGAGCUCAACUCCGGAAUUGCCUUUAAGACUGCAUCACUUGAAUCGUGGAGAGGUGAGUGGAAUUCCGAGUGUAGAGGUGAAAUUCGUAGAUAUUCGGAAGAACACCAGUGGCGAAGGCGGCUCACUGGACACGUAUUGACGCUGAGGUACGAAAGCGUGGGGAGCAAACAGGAUUAGAUACCCCCGUAGUCCCUGUCUCUACACC
rnacentral:rRNA from 1 species